rnacentral:rRNA from 1 species
CACGUAGGGGGCAAGCGUUGUCCGGAUUUAUUGGGCGUAAAGAGCUCGUAGGUGGCUCGGUAAGUCGGGUGUGAAAUUUCGAGGCUCAACCUCGAGACGCCACCUGAUACUGCUGUGGCUAGAGUCCGGUAGGGGAGCGUGGAAUUCCUGGUGUAGCGGUGAAAUGCGCAGAUAUCAGGAGGAACACCAGCGGCGAAGGCGGCGCUCUGGGCCGGUACUGACACUGAGGAGCGAAAGCGUGGGGAGCGAACAGG